rnacentral:rRNA from 1 species
GUGGGGAAUAUUGGACAAUGGGCGCAAGCCUGAUCCAGCCAUGCCGCGUGUGUGAAGAAGGCCUUUUGGUUGUAAAGCACUUUAAGCGAGGAGGAGGCUCCUUUAGUUAAUACCUAAAGAGAGUGGACGUUACUCGCAGAAUAAGCACCGGCUAACUCUGUGCCAGCAGCCGCGGUAAUACAGAGGGUGCGAGCGUUAAUCGGAUUUACUGGGCGUAAAGCGUGCGUAGGCGGCUUUUUAAGUCGGAUGUGAAAUCCCUGAGCUUAACUUAGGAAUUGCAUUCGAUACUGGAAAGCUAGAGUAUGGGAGAGGAUGGUAGAAUUCCAGGUGUAGCGGUGAAAUGCGUAGAGAUCUGGAGGAAUACCGAUGGCGAAGGCAGCCAUCUGGCCUAAUACUGACGCUGAGGUACGAAAGCAUGGGGAGCAAACAGGAUUAGAAACCCUAGUAGUCC